rnacentral:rRNA from 1 species
AUGGUGAGUCCAUCACCAAGUGCCAGCAGCGGCAGUGGCAAGAGCGCGGGUAGGGCCAAGAGCAGGAGCAGAAGCAAGAGCAAGAGUAGGAGCAGGAGCAGGAGCAGAAGCAAGAGCAGCAGCAAGAGUAAGAGCAGGAGCAGGAGCAGGAGUCGCAGCCGGAGCAGAAGCCGAAGCCCUCGGCGAGAUAGGCUGCGCAGCGAGCGUUCAUCUCGCCGCAGCCGUAGCCCACCUCGUCGUGGUCGUAGUCCUCCUCGUCGCAGUGAACGUCGUAGCUACAGGGAUAUUAUUUGCAAGAACUGCAGGAGACCUGGCCACAUUGCUAGGGAUUGCCCAUCUGCUUCUACCUGCAAUAAUUGUAAUCUUCCAGGGCACUUUGCAGCAGAAUGCACUUCCAAAACAGUUUGCUGGAACUGCAAGAAGUCUGGGCACAUUGCCACUGAAUGCAAGAACGAGGCCUUGUGCCACACUUGCAGCAAGACGGGGCAUAUGGCGCGUGACUGUCCCGCCUCAGGGUCGAACGCCAAGCUAUGCAACAACUGCUUUAAGCCGGGACACAUCGCGGUCGACUGCACCAACGACCGCGCCUGCAACAACUGCCGCCAGCCAGGCCACAUCGCCCGCGAGUGCAAGAAUGACCCCGUCUGCAACCUCUGCAACGUGUCGGGCCACCUGGCCCGUGCCUGCCCGAAGACGACGACCCUGGCCUCGGAGAUCCACGGGGGCCCCUUCCGCGACAUCUCGUGCCGCAUGUGCGGCCAGCCAGGCCACAUCAGCCGCAACUGCAUGGCGACUAUCAUCUGCGACACCUGCGGCGGCAGGGGCCACAUGUCAUACGAGUGCCCCUCGGCCAGGGUCUUCGACCGCGGCGUCCGCCGGUUCUGA